UACGGGGGGGGCAAGCGUUGUUCGGAAUUACUGGGCGUAAAGGGCUCGUAGGUGGCCAACUAAGUCAGACGUGAAAUCCCUCGGCUUAACCGGGGAACUGCGUCUGAUACUGGAUGGCUUGAGUUUGGGAGAGGGAUGCGGAAUUCCAGGUGUAGCGGUGAAAUGCGUAGAUAUCUGGAGGAACACCGGUGGCGAAGGCGGCAUCCUGGACCGGCAUUGACGCUGAGGAGCGAAAGCCAGGGGAGCAAACAGG
rnacentral:rRNA from 1 species